CGACACAUCCCUGCCCCUCAAAUCACAGGCCUGAUUGUCCCCAGGCGCGCGCUCCGGGUUGGGGCUACCCCGCCCCCUUAUGUGCUGAGAAGGUGGUGUGGAGUGAGGCCUUUGUUUCAUUCUGGUCACCUGUAGACAUUAUAGGGAAACUGAGGUAGACAAUGGGAGCCCUGACUUUUUUGAAGGUCGGCUCCCCAGCUUCGGGCGGUCGGGGGGAUACCCUCUUCUGUUUACGAUGCUAGUUAAGAGCAGCGAUCAGGGCUGGCGUGGGUUUAGCCACAGGCUUGUCCAGGGCGCUCACUCCUCGCCAGGAGCGGCGCCGGUGCUUUGGUUACACCCCGAGAGGCGCCCGGCACUACGGUUUCCUUGUGCGCUGCUGGAAUUUUCAGGGUUGGAGCGCCGGCCGCGUAGGGGUGGCAGUGAG
rnacentral:lncRNA from 1 species